rnacentral:rRNA from 1 species
UACGUAGGGUGCAAGCGUUGUCCGGAAUUAUUGGGCGUAAAGGGCGCGUAGGCGGCUUGGCAAGUGGAAGGUGAAAUCCCUCGGCUUAACCGAGGAACUGCCCUCCAAACUGCUUUGCUUGAGGCCGGGAGAGGUGAGUGGAAUUCCCAGUGUAGCGGUGAAAUGCGUAGAUAUUGGGAGGAACACCAGUGGCGAAGGCGGCUCACUGGACCGGUUCUGACGCUGAGGCGCGAAAGCGUGGGGAGCAAACGGG